AGAGUCGAUUGGACAGUCGCUGCCCUCUAUGAGAAUUAGGGGGGGGAGGAAAGUCCGGGCUCCAUAGGGCGAAGUGCCAGGUAAUGCCUGGGAGGCGUGAGCCUACGGAAAGUGCCACAGAAAAUAACCGCCUAAGCACUUCGGUGCCGGUAAGGGUGAAAAGGUGCGGUAAGAGCGCACCGCACGACUGGCAACAGUUCGUGGCUAGGUAAACCCCACUUGGAGCAAGACCAAAUAGGGUCCCAAGGCGUGGCCCGCGCUGGGACCGGGUAGGUUGCUAAAGAUGU
rnacentral:RNase_P_RNA from 1 species